ensembl:lncRNA
AUGACACUCUGUCUUCCUCCUUCCCAUUCUGCAGGAGUUGCUGGCGAGCGGCAGACCACCACAGCGGCGGCAUCUGGCGGUUCAGGUGUUGCAGCAGCUAUGUCGUCUAACAUUCAGGAUAUGAGCGCUUCCAGCAGUCAGUCAGCGGGAGGUGGGGGGAAUUAUGGAACAGCGGGAAGUUCUGCAGGUCAUGGAAGUGAAUCUUCGAUGGACUCAGAAGCUGGAGUUGAGAGCAGCUCAACAACACAAACAGGUUCUGACGGAGUGGACUCAGAGUCCAACGGUAACGGACAGAAACUGAUGAAUGGAGGGGAUGUAGGGGGCGGAGCUGACAGUCAGACAGGUCCGCUGGAUUCCACAGUGAUGAGUUCGGGUGUGACAGCAGCUCAGUCUGUGGAUAAGAGCAGCGGUUUCAGUCUGGACUCUCUUUCAGAUCCUGCUUAUCACUCUGACAUCCGCAUCAACCAAUCAGGACCAGACCACAGCUCUUUGAGCUCAGCGCCCGACCAAUCACAUUCCAGCUCUUUCUCUGUCUCAGGCUUCUCCCACUUUGCAGUCCAGGGGGAUGUAGCAGAUUCAUCAUCUUCAUCCCACAGUGAAGCUCAAAGAGUACAGACAGGUGAGCAAGCACACCUGUACGCACCUGUAUCCUGCCAGUACACCCAUUUCCACCUCUGUACUGACCUGUAUUUACCUUUACACAAGUGGCAAACGUACUUACCUGUACUCAACUGUACACACCUGUAUGCACAUCAAGUCACCUGUGCACACCAAAAAGACCGAAAGCUAUCACCUAGUGAAUCCCUGGAUUUUAUUAGAACAAAUAUAUGAGAAUUAAAAUCAACCUUUUCGACGUAAAAUGACACCUAUACUUUAAUGAUUUAUAUUACAUUACAUGUCAUUUAGCUGACGCUUUUAUCCAAAGCGACUUACAAUAAGUGCAUUCAACCAUAGGGUACAAACUCAGAAGAACAAGAAACAAGAAAGUGCAUUUUCCUCAAAUAAGCCAAUUUACAAUUUGCUAUAGAUGGCGUUAUAAGUACAAUUUAAGUGCAUCAAUUUGUUAGUCUUUUAGUCGAGGUAGAGUCUGAAGAGGUGUGUCUUUAGUUUGCGGCGGAAGAUGUGAAGGCUCUCUGCGGUCCUGAUGUCUUCAGAGAGCUCGUUCCACCAUUUCGGAGCAGAACAGCAAAGAGUCGUGAUCUAGUCGAGUGUUUUGCUCUCAGUGAGGAGGAACAAGCAGUUUAUCACAUGCAGAGCGGAGAGUGCAGGUCGGGAUGUCGGGUUGGACCAGGUCCUGGAUGUAAGCUGGACCCCAUCCAUUCACAGCAUGGUACGUGAGUACCAGUGUUUAGAACUGGAUGAGCCACCGGUACCAGUGAAGAGAGCGGAGGAGUGGAGGAGUGUGGGAGAACUGCUGCAUUCUGGUUGAGCUGCAGAGGUGGAAUGGUGGUUGCAGGAGAGAGUUACAGUAGUCCAGGAGGGAGAUGACAAGAGCCUGAAUCAGUACCUGGGCAACCAUUUAUAGAGACAUGCUUGGAACUAAAGUACACCCUGAUAGUUGUGACACUAAUACAACAUACUACGUUUUUUUGUAGUAUUAGAACCAGAAUUACUGGAAUCAGGAAUCUCGAUCAUUUAUUACCAAAAAAUGUCAUACAAGGAAUUUUACUUGGCGGUUGGUGCAUAACAUCAGACAGUAGGACAAUGGACAACAAGACAGAUAAGACAACACAGUGCAAGAGGGAUUUAAAUUAAAAAUAAAAGUUUAAAAAGUAAAUAAAAUAAGUGUUUGUGUGGUCUUGUGAGAUCUUGGUCCUGAUUGACCUCAACCUCCUGCCAGGGGCACAAACAGGUUUUGUCCGGGGUGAGAGGGGUCGGCUACAAUCUUUUUAGCUCGCUUCAGGGUCCUGGAGGGACGGCAGAUUGCUGCCGAUCACCCUCUCUGCAGAACGGAGGACACGCUGCAGCCUGCCCUUGUCCUUGGCUGUGGCUGCAGCGUACCAGACGGUGAUGGAGGAGCAGAGGAUGGACUC